rnacentral:rRNA from 1 species
AACAUUCCACGUUGUCCGUGCCGCAGCUAACGCAUUAAGUGCCCCGCCUGGGGAGUACGGCCGCAAGGCUAAAACUCAAAGGAAUUGACGGGGGCCCGCCCAAGCGGCGGAGCACGUGGCCUAAUUCGACGCCACGCGAAGCACCUUACCAAGGCUUGACGUCCACCGGUAACGUGUGGAGUCACGCGCCCCCUCGUGGUCGGUGUACAGGUGGUGCAUAGCUAUCGUCAGCUCGUGUCGUGCAGUGUUGGCUUA